UAAAAAACGGGCAAAGUAUCUGAAUGGACUUUUUUUCCCCCAAGGAAGACAUACAGAUGACCAACAGACACAUGAAAAGAUGUUCAGCAUCACUAGCCAUCAGAGAAAUGCAAAUCAAAACCAGAACGAGAUAUCCUCUCACACCUGCAAACAGCUAUUAUCAGAGAGACAACAAAUAGCAAGAGUUGCCGAAAGAGGAGAUCCUAAAGAUCUGGUCACAAGAAGAAAAUUGUAAUUAGAAGCGAACAGAACCUGCAGAAGAACAAGCAUCGGUGACCAGGCUGGCCCCACGCUGCUGGUCCUCCACCAAGCUACUGGACGUUGUCUAAGCAUGCAUUGACACAGGUAGUGAUGGGCCAAUGGAUGUCACUGUCUCCAAACCAACCACACAGCCGAUUCUGCCAUCUCCCAGAGGGCCAUAUAAGAACUGCACAAAUAAUGCUGCAAAGAUGUGGAAGCAGAAAAUUCAGGGAUCACCAGAGAGGGAGAGUCAGCCUUCACGUGUGGGCCUGUGCCCUGAGAGGCAGGGCUGGGUCAGGCAAGCGGACAGAGACGGGGGGACCUGGCACCUGAGCCUCACACAUCAGGGGCAGUGAUGGUGGCGGGUGGUGCUUGGGGCCUUUCUUAUUGUCGGGAGACACUCUGAGUGUCCUUCAGACGUGCCUCACUGGUGCUCACAUCGGAUCCUGGAGAUGGGGGUAGCUCUAUGCCCCUUUCCGUGUGAUGGGACCAUGGCCCCACUAGGCAGGCACUCAGAGCCUGGACCACAUAGGAGGAUGCUGGC